UACGUAGGGUCCGAGCGUUGUCCGGAAUUACUGGGCGUAAAGAGCUCGUAGGUGGUUUGUCGCGUUGUUCGUGAAAACUCACAGCUUAACUGUGGGCGUGCGGGCGAUACGGGCAGACUGGAGUACUGCAGGGGAGACUGGAAUUCCUGGUGUAGCGGUGGAAUGCGCAGAUAUCAGGAGGAACACCGGUGGCGAAGGCGGGUCUCUAGGCAGUAACUGACGCUGAGGAGCGAAAGCGUGGGGAGCGAACAGG
rnacentral:rRNA from 1 species